CGAUUUGCUGCCUGACCUUGUUGGUGCCUGUGAUGAUGAUUAUACAGCAUUGUGCAUGCCAUUAAAGGGGAGGGGAGGAACUUGAGAGGAGAUCUUAGGGCCCUAGUCCUGGCCACAGAGUCUCCUUGCAGCCCAAGACAGAAGCUGAUGAUUCACAGUAGAGAAGAAGUGAAUAUUCCAGUUCAUUUUAUCUUCAAACAGCUAAUUGGAUUAGCUACUAUCACCCGAAUUUUACACCAAGAAAACUGAUGAUCAGAGAAAUAAAGCCAAGUUCCUAGGACCACAAAGUGGGUAAGAGGCAGAGCAGGAUUUAAACCCAGAUUUGUUUGACUUCAAAGCUUAUGCUUUUUCACUAUUUCUCCUCACACCCACUGACCCCACAAUGUCUCAUAAGGGGAUCUGCAAGGCAGCCCUAAAUUCCAAGCAGGACAUGUAACUCCUCAAUGGACAAAUGGACACUGGACCCUGGUUGAAGGAACCUGUUGUUCUUAUGGUGGAGGGCAGAAACCCAAGAGGGCUGGAGCCAAUCCAUCCCUGUUUUCUUUAGACGCUGACUCCUGCUGUCUACCAGAUCCUCGUGGUACAAUGACUGGUGUAGACUGGCUUGUUGAAGUCACUCUCUGGAUCUGAGCAACGCUGGCUGAGCCGUGAUGAAGUAUUCCUAUCCAUCCACUAUGCUUCACAGUGGGAAUCUCUCACUGUUCAUCACCGCUGCCCUAGCAGCCGCAGGGAUUCUUCACCCAUGGUUGCUUAGGUUUAUAAGCAAGGAAGCUGAAUGAAGUCCCUUUCCUCUCUGGAUGAGCCCCUGGGUUUCUGGAAGAGUCUUAAAAUCACCCCUAAAUGGCUUCCAAGCACUGAAGCCCGAGAUGUUAGCUGGCCUGUGUGAGGCCUUGAGACAGAAUGCCACAGCCACACCCCAAGGAUGCUGAAGGGGAUUUCCCUCCUCUGUGGUUUUUCUCCUUUCUUCCCGCAGCACUCCUCCUACGUGCUAACAUCUUCUAGUCAAACAACUCUCCUUUUCAAAGGGACCAGGCACAGUUUCUGCUUAUCCCUGAGUAGCAGUGUUCAGUUUCCUGCCAGCCUGUGGAGUUUUUCAAACAAGCCAAUCACCUCCUCCUGUGGGAACUGAGAAGCACCCCACCCUCUCGAUACUACAAAGCCCCUGCUUGUUCCCUAGUGCAACUCCCAUGUGGUCCUGUGGAGCAUAUGGUAUCUUCCUCUUCUGGGCAGUGAGCAUAUGUGACUAAUAAACUAUCUAUCUCAUCUGUUCAGUGCCAGGUGUCAUUUGUUCUGCCAUCCCAUGACCUAGGGUGGGGAUUCCUUCCACACCAACAGGGUGAAUGCAAGGUGAUUAAAACAAGAAGCCUCUUCAGGAUCUAUAUCCUAGGGAAAAAAUUAAACAACAACAACAAAACAAGAAGCUUCAACUCUGACCCUGUAUUCCAGAUGUGUUACAGGGGCCUGUCUCCCCAGAGCCACUCUCCAGGUCAGAGCUUACCUCCCCUUGCUCAGGGUUAGGAGCUCUGGGCAGGAAAAGGACAUCAUGUUAAAA
rnacentral:lncRNA from 1 species